rnacentral:rRNA from 1 species
AGAGUUUGAUCAUGGCUCAGGACGAACGCUGGCGGCGCGCCUAACACAUGCAAGUCGAACGAGAGAGAAGGAGCUUGCUUCUUCGAUCGAGUGGCGAACGGGUGAGUAACGCGUGAGGAACCUGCCUCAAAGAGGGGGGACAACAGUUGGAAACGACUGCUAAUACCGCAUAAGCCCACGGGUCGGCAUCGAUCUGAGGGAAAAGGAGCAAUCCGCUUUGAGAUGGCCUCGCGUCCGAUUAGCUAGUUGGUGAGGUAACGGCCCACCAAGGCGACGAUCGGUAGCCGGACUGAGAGGUUGAACGGCCACAUUGGUACUGAGACACGGCCCAGACUCCUACGGGAGGCAGCA